GGCAUUUAAUCUGAUUUAAAUAAAUAAAAAUAAACUAAUAAAUCAAAAAAAGCUUUUAUUUAUUUUUUGUUUGCUUUAAAAUCAUUAAAAUAAAAAGGGGAAGAGAAAGCUUUGAAACCCAUUUUUAUUUCUCUCACUAACCCCAACAACCCUUUCCCUUCUCUCUAAAACAUCCGCUUGUCUUCAUCUUCUCCGACGAGACUUGGCCGGUCCGACGCGGUGGCUGGUGAGCCACCACGGUGGCACCGCCGCGCCGGAAAAGAAAUCCUCAUUUUCUUUUUAAUGCAAUUGCUCUACUUCUUCACCUCUUUCUAUUUUUAAAAACAAAUUUUCAAAGAAAACUCAUAUACAAUCUAGAUCUACAAAUCAAAAUACGAAACAACAAAAAAACUACCUCUUCUUUCUUCUUUCGUUUCAGUUUCGAAAAUAAGGUUAGAUUAUUGAUGUUGUUGUCGUUUUAUUUCGAAAAAGGAAGUGUUUGUGUUUGAUUCGAACUGGUACAGUGGUGGUUUGCAUUUUUGUGUUAUUUGAAAUGGAUAUUGAGGUUAUUGUGAUAUGAUGGUGGCUUUGUGAGUAUGUUUGUUGGUUGAUGGAAAUCAAAAAUGUGUGAUUGUUGUUGAGUUCUUGAAGGUUUGUAUCAGAGUUUGUGUUGGUGAUGUUAGAACAUGAUUCUGGAAAAAAAAAUACUUGUGGUUGGUGUUGUUAGAUUGAAAACUGUUGUUGUUCUUGAGGGAGAAAAAAUGGUUGAAACAACAUCAGUUUGGGUUCAAGAUGAUGAAGAAUCAUGAAUUUGGGUUUGAAUGGAAGAAGAAGAACAUGGAGGAGUAUGUAGAAGAUGAAGAAACACGAUGGAAAAGAACAAGAUGGAAAAUUGAAGAAGCACUUGAAAUGUUAUUUCCUUUUUUAUUCUUUCAAUUUUAUUUCCUUUUUUUUUCUUUCAAUUUUAUUUCCUUUUUUUUCUUUCAAUUUUUUUUAUUUUAAUUUUUGAAAUGUUUAAGUUGGUUUUUUAAAUUAAAAAAUGUUGUUUUAAUGACAUGUUAAUGUCAUUUUCCAAGUUGGCACUGCCACAUAGGUAUUUCUUUGCCAUAUCAGCGUUUUUGGAGGAUAAAUGGGGGAUAGGACGAAAACUGCAACAAAAAUGAUAACUGAAUGACCGUUUUGUUCUGUUUUAAAAGGGCAGGACCAGUUUCGUGAGUUGGCCAAAACACGAGGACCAAAAGUGUAAUUAAGCCUAAAAGAAAUAAAAACAUAAAUCUUCCUCCAUGAAAACACCACCAACCAACCUUUGUGUCUCUUUUUGACAUUAUUUGACUAUGUCACAUGCUUAGGACACGAAGAGUUUUCCAUUUGAUUGUAUUGACAACUAUGUUUAAUAAAACUAUGAUUCGUCCUUGAUAUAUAUUGUUAUACCCUUGGCCAAAAACAACAUAAUUAACAUAAAAUUUGUGGAAAAGAAAAACUAUGUUUAUAAUUAAUAAAACCACAUUUCGCAAAGGUAUACAAAAUCAUAAAAUUUGAUAAAUUAUCUUUUCUUGAAAACUAAUUGAUUUAAAUUAGUUUUUUAAUCGAUUAUGAUUGUUAAAUUUAGCAACUAUAUUAAAUCUUCGUCAAGUAAUAAAAUUUAUAAGUUCAUCUCCACGGAGAUUAUGAAAUUGCAAACUAACUACUACACUUUUUUUUGUUGAUAAAGCUAUAAAUGGAUUAAAAGAAACCAGAAGCUGACUGAAACUCUUACAACAAUUACUCCAUAGAAACCCUAGUAAAAGGUAAACCUAAAGAAUGCCUAACGAGAAAGGUUGAAAUAAAAUAUGGAGGGUACUCCCACCAUUGAGAGGAUCAAGGGGCAAGACCUUGACCAUUCCUGGCCAAAGUAUCAACCACCAUGUUCCCCUCUCUAAGUACAUGAGUGAAAAUAUAUCUAAUUUGCCUACAAAAGUGCAUACAAUUGUGCCAUCUUGUAUUCAUCCUCCAAGGAACACCUUCUUGCUUGCUGAAAGCUUUCACAACAUUAAGUGAAUCAGUUUCAAUCCAAAUAUCUCUAAGGUCCAGAUCAUCAACUUUUGCCAUGGCAAACAAGCACCAAAUUCAGCUUCUAAAGAAGAUUCAAUGCCAAUAUUUUGAGCCAAAGCUUCUAUAAAGAAAGAUGGAGAAGCUAUAAAGAUAACACCAUUGGAACCACAAAGAGGAUUGUCAAAGAGACAUCCUAGAUGGAGAGAUCUUUCUAGCCUUCAUAGGUAUGCCAAAGAGUCUAGAAACCUUGAAGUCUUGCAUGCUAGUAGAUCCCUUAACAAUAUCAAGUACAAAGAUGCUAUGAAAAAGAGUGAUCAUGGAAGAAUGCUUGUUGGAGAAGUAUCUUUUAUUUAUUUCAAUCUAGAUGCUCCAGAUGACAUGAACAAUAGAAGAAUUCAUCACAUAUCUGUCCAGUUUACUAGUAGUAGUAUUCACACUCAGCAGAAGAGAGGUUAUGGAAGAUAGAUAAAGCAGUUGAUCAGUCCCUUUCACCAGCCAUUCCCAUAACUAAUAGGUAACAGGGCACCUAAGAUAAAUGUGUUGAGAAGAUUCAUUUGUUUUAUAGUAGAAGCAACAUAUAGAAACAAUGGAGCAACCUGUUAGCCUGUAAUUACGACAUGCUAUAAUAAAUGCAGUCAAUGAAGUUUGACUCACUGUUUGAUCGAAUUUAUGGACUUUAAAGAGAUUUGUUGUUUUUAUGGUGAGGGCUCGACGAGCAAGCAAGAGUCGAAGAGAAGUUAGUGCCAGAUAAAGGAGCCAAGUAGCGGUUACUAUCGAAGGAUAUUAUUUGAAAUUCAAAUAUUUUUAUAAUAGUUAUUAGCAGUUAUGUUAGAACAUUUCUGUGUAGGUAGUUACUUAGUAUAAAUAGUAGUUUUUCAUAGGAAAAGCAUGUCACAAUUCAAUCAUACAGAAAACUUACAAUCAAACUAUCCGCAUUCAGAGAUAAACGAGUAACAAGUCACAAUGUAUGAAUCUCUGUACCAAUUUACAUUCGAUCAAUGCAAUUUACGUUUAUUUCUUUAAUUUCCAUUGCAAUUUACUUGUUCUUUUCAAGCAAUUUACUUUAUUCCUUUGAAUAUAACUUCAACGGGUUCAACCAUCGUUGGAUUCAACGGUUAUAUUCAUAUUCUGCAUUAUAUUAUCAAGAACAUUCAUCAUUUUUCUAGAAAAUAAUAAACACAAUAUGUCCCAAAGAUUUACUGGUUAAUCUUGCAAGUAACUAUUUUUAAACCAGCGGUUGUUUACCAAAAACUAGGGUAAACAAAUUGGCACGCCCAGUGGGACUGUUUGUGCUUUUUAUUUAAAUUGGCAGAGAUUUAUAUCAAGGAGAUUGUGAUGUUACAUGGUGUUCCUUCGAGCAUUGUAUCAGAUAGAGAUCCAAGAUUUACUUCUAGAUUUUGGAAAAGUUUGCAAGAGGCUUUGGGUUCGAAGUUGAGAUUGAGUUCGGCUUAUCAUCCACAGACAGAUGGUCAGUCGNGACCUAAUAGACCAGUGAAAGUUGAUGAUUCAAGUCAUUACAGGCUCCCUUAGAGCUCCAAUCAUUAUGAUAAACUGUUGUCUUAAUUUUCGGUUGUCCUUUGCUUAAUUUUUUAUAUUAAAUACAAGUUUUUGGGUGUGAUUCACUUUCAUGCAAUUGCUUUUAUUCAACUUUUUUUUUCCUUUCAAAUACCUCAACUUUUGAACUUUAAUCUUGUUUAUGGCAGCCUUGGUCCCAAUCCCAGAUAAAAGAAAAGGGUUGUGUUAACAUCUACAACAAAAUGAUGUGGUUGACAAAGUGGUGUUUUAAAAUGAUGUGGCACUUUAUUUCUUGUGUCUAUUUUUUUGGUAAAAUACUACUCAUAAAUCUCCAAGUGCUUCAACUACCCAGUAAAAUUACCAAUAACUCACUUUAUUCUAAAAAAAUACUUGGGUGACAUUGAUCAACCACAAUAUCACAAGUGUACAAAAAACAAAAAAAAAAACAUUGUGAAAUUGAAAGAAAAAAGCCACUUAUGAUAUUGUGGUUUCUACGGAUAAAAUACAAACUGCUUUUUUUUUUCUUUUUCUUAUCAUUUCUUUUUCAUAUUCUUUCUUUUUCUAAUUUUCUUUCUCUCUUUUCAUUAAAUAUAGGAACAUAAACCUACAUUCAUUAAACCACCAUAAAUUCACGUUUUUUACCAUGCUGUGCGCCUAUGUCACCAAAUCAAAAAUGCAUCAAGUCUCACACCGAAAGGAAAUAUGUUAAUGUCUCAAUUUUGACGUAAAGUUAAACAAUGGAUGCAAGAGUAGAUGUUGACAAAAAUAUAAGUGAGAUGAACAAUAUAAGAGUAGAUGUUUAAGUUUUAUAUUAAAUUUUAGGUUUUGGAUGUCGUUCGCUUUCAUGCAAUAUUGUUUCAUGGAUAAAAUCAUGUGUGAUUUGUUGAAUUAACAAAAUACAUGUUUAUUAGACACUUUUAAAUAUUGUGAUGUUUUUUUUUCUGAAUUAAGCCUAAAUUUUUGGUAAGUUAAUUAUCCUAAAGUCUCCAACUUCUUCAACAAUCUCAUAAAUUACCAGCAACUAUGUUUAUUCUCUAGUAUGAACACUUGUGUCAAGCACAUUAUAGUAUCAUUCUCAUUUGUGUGGUUGAUCUCUGUUCAGUGGCUAAAUCCACACCAAUUUUGACUCCCCCAAAAGGUUCGAUGAUGGUAUCAUAUCCCGAUUUGACGAUGAAGAAGUAGAAGAAGUUCCUAGUGGUAGAUCCCUGAAGUGGAUAGUCUCAUACUUGAGGAAUAGAAGUUAAUGUGUUAUAAGUCUGAGUUAAAGUUUCAUAUUGGAUGUAAAAAUAUAUGUUGAGUGACACAUAAGUGAUAUGACUCAUAUACCUAAUGCCUUAAGGUUUAGGAUGAAGAUAUGGUGUCAAACUCACUUAAGUGGAUUCUCUUACUCUAAUGUAAUGAUCAAAUUCAAUGUAUCAUCCCUCAAAAAUCUCAACAUUAUAAUGAACUGUAAUUUAUUUUUUAUUUUUGCAUGUCAUUUUUUUUAAAAUUUAGUUUUUUGAAGUCUUUCUCUUUCAUGUGAUUUUUUUUAUUCAACCUCCAUUAUUUCAAAUUCAUUCAAUUUUGAUCUUUGGUGGUAAAUGAGAAUCGAAAAUUGCAAACGUGUUAUGUUGAGUUGACAAAAUACAUGCUUAUUAGACAUUUAAAAUUAUGUGAGAUUUUUAUAAUUAAAUAUAAUUUUUUUUGUAAAAUAAUACCCGAAAAUCUCGUACUCCUUCAACUGACCUAUAAAAUUAUUGGCAACUCACAUUAUUUCUUAUACUCUUACAAAUAAAACACACAAUACUUAUAUUGUUUCCCUUAUCUUCUCUCAUGUUUAAAUUAUUUUUCCAUAUCUGUUUAUUUUCAUUUAAUUUCAAUUUUUUUCUCAUAAAAGAAAGGCUUAAUUACACUUUUGGUCCUCGUGUUUUGGCCAACUCACGAAACUGGUCCUGCCCUUUUAAAACAGAACAAAACGGUCCUUCAGUUAUCAUUUUUGUUGCAGUUUUCGUCCUACCCCCCAUUUUAUCCUCCAAAAACGCUGAUGUGUUGCAUUUUUUGAUUAGGUGUCCAAAAAAGCGCUUAGGUGGCAUUUCCAUGUGGCAUUUAAUCUGAUUUAAAUAAAUAAAAAUAAACUAAUAAAUCAAAAAAAGCUUUUAUUUAUUUUUUGUUUGCUUUAAAAUCAUUAAAAUAAAAAGGGGAAGAGAAAGCUUUGAAACCCAUUUUUAUUUCUCUCACUAACCCCAACAACCCUUUCCCUUCUCUCUAAAACAUCCGCUUGUCUUCAUCUUCUCCGACGAGACUUGGCCGGUCCGACGCGGUGGCUGGUGAGCCACCACGGUGGCACCGCCGCGCCGGAAAAGAAAUCCUCAUUUUCUUUUUAAUGCAAUUGCUCUACUUCUUCACCUCUUUCUAUUUUUAAAAACAAAUUUUCAAAGAAAACUCAUAUACAAUCUAGAUCUACAAAUCAAAAUACGAAACAACAAAAAAACUACCUCUUCUUUCUUCUUUCGUUUCAGUUUCGAAAAUAAGGUUAGAUUAUUGAUGUUGUUGUCGUUUUAUUUCGAAAAAGGAAGUGUUUGUGUUUGAUUCGAACUGGUACAGUGGUGGUUUGCAUUUUUGUGUUAUUUGAAAUGGAUAUUGAGGUUAUUGUGAUAUGAUGGUGGCUUUGUGAGUAUGUUUGUUGGUUGAUGGAAAUCAAAAAUGUGUGAUUGUUGUUGAGUUCUUGAAGGUUUGUAUCAGAGUUUGUGUUGGUGAUGUUAGAACAUGAUUCUGGAAAAAAAAAUACUUGUGGUUGGUGUUGUUAGAUUGAAAACUGUUGUUGUUCUUGAGGGAGAAAAAAUGGUUGAAACAACAUCAGUUUGGGUUCAAGAUGAUGAAGAAUCAUGAAUUUGGGUUUGAAUGGAAGAAGAAGAACAUGGAGGAGUAUGUAGAAGAUGAAGAAACACGAUGGAAAAGAANNN
rnacentral:lncRNA from 1 species